AUUGAACGCUGGCGGCAGGCUUAACACAUGCAAGUCGAGCGGGGUGAUGGUGCUUGCACUAUCACUUAGCGGAGGACGGGUGAGUAAUGCUUAGGAAUCUGCCUAUUAGUGGGGGACAACAUCUCGAAAGGGAUGCUAAUACCGAAUACGUCCUACGGGAGAAAGCAGGGGAUCACUUGUGACCUUGCGCUAAUAGAUGAGCCUAAGUCGGAUUAGCUAGUGGGUGGGGUAAAGGCCUACCAAGGCGACGAUCUGUAGCGGGUCUGAGAGGAUGAUCCGCCACACUGGGACUGAGACACGGCCCAGACUCCUACGGGAGGUAGCAGUGGGGAAUAUUGGACAAUGGGGGGAACCCUGAUCCAGCCAUGCCGCGUGUGUGAAGAAGGCCUUAUGGUUGUAAAGCACUUUAAGCGAGGAGGAGGCUCUUUUGGUUAAUACCCAAGAUGAGUGGACGUUACUCGCAGAAUAAGCACCGGCUAACUCUGUGCCAGCCGCCGCCGUAA
rnacentral:rRNA from 1 species